rnacentral:lncRNA from 1 species
GUCUAGGACCUAUCACUAGGUCCAUGGCCAAGCAUCUCCACGCACAUUUGGGUCAAGCAACGGAUGGAAGGGAAAGGAACUUGUACAUGCUACAUGAAGGCCCAUUAGGGGUGGCUUAGUAGUUAGUGUAGUGUUAGAAAGCAUAAACUUGUCUCUUUUUUAUUUAACCUAGAUUGUUCACGUUUUCUAGAAGGUUCUCCACUAGGAACGACCAUGUGCUCCAUGUGGCCAUGUGCCUCACAUUUCCAUUUCAUUUGGCUAGCAUUUCAUCUUCUAUUAGCUUAACAUUUACGGCCUCCUUAGCCUAUAAAAGGAGAAGCCCAUCACUUGUAUUUGGAAGAUUGAAUUGAGUAAUGUUAUGCUGCCAUUUUUGUGCCAUACAUUGCCCAUUGCGUAGCUUCUAGGUUUUAAUCUUCCUUUCACCAUCUACCA